rnacentral:lncRNA from 1 species
CUUUAUAUUGAGGUGGCGAUGGUGCCUUGUUAUGAGGUGGAGGCUGUGCCUUGUUACGAGGUGGAGAUGGUGCCUUUUUAUGGGAUGGGGGCUUGGGUUUUGAUCCACUACCGCUGUGGUAGUGGCCGCCGCCGCUGCCGCCGUGGUUGCUUUUUCCUUUUUUCUUUGAAAGAGAAGCAAAGGAUGCCCUGCUUUGCCUCCAAUGCCGGCCUCUUCUGCCCAUGCAAGCGUCGAAAUUCGACGACCAAACCAGAAUUGCAAUUACUAGCAUGAAUGUGAUGCUUCUGAAACUGAACUCACUCAUUUCUGCACAAUGUGGGGUUGUGGAUGAGAGAGAGAGAGAGAGAGAGAGAGAGAGAGAGAGAGAGAGAGAGAGAGAGAGAGAGAGAGGGAGAGAGAGUUGUGUGAGAGGACUGGUUUAGUUUAGAUAUAAAAAAGAUGUGGUGGCUGUGUUUAUAUAGAAUUGGAGCAUGCAAACAGAUGGAGACAAACAUGCAUAAGCUCUAAUUUGAUAAUUCUAGGAAUUUAUAAAUUUAUUAAUUUCAUUCUCAUUUUUAUUUCCUUUUGUUCUUUUAUUAAUUAUCAUGUUUUCUUUUUUGUGAAUUAUAGUUGGUAUAAAAUUAUAGUUGGAAUUUUGUUUUGCCUCACAUGCCAAAUAUUGCAGCUCUUUGUUGCAACUCAUUCAAUUUCCUAAUGCUUAUGUGAACACAUGUUCCAUUUAAAUACUCCUUGUUCAAAUCUUAAUUAAUUAGUCGUAAUGAGCAAACCAUGGAUGUUAAUUUGGAUGUUAAUUUGUUUCUUUAUAGCACGUGUAUUUUUGUUAAUACCGUAUCGUAGAUCUGUAAUAUAUCAAUUGAGUUGAGCAUUUAUUUCAAUCAUGUUUUUUCCACUGUAUUUUCUUUUAGUGUUUUUCUAUUUGCAAGACUAUAUUUUAUUAUAAACCAUUUUAACUUAUAGCGUGGAGAUAAUAGAUGUGAACUCACCAACGGAAACACUAACCUAACUAACUAGCUUAACCUGCAUAUGCAUAGCCCUAUAGAGUUAAGGGGUAGUAAAAUAUUUAAGAAAUAGUAGAUGUAAACUCAAAUAUAAGACGACGGCAACAGAAAUACUGACUCAACCAACUAGCUUAAUCUCCAUAUGCAUAGCCAUAUAGAGUUAAGGGGUAGUAAAAUAUUUAAGAAAAAAUAGAUGUGAACUCAAAUAUAAGACUACAACAACGAAAACACUAACUUAACUAACUUAACUUGCAUAUGCAUAGCUCUAUAGAGUUAAGGGUAGUAAAAUAUUUAAGAAAAAUAUAUGUGAAUUCAAAUAUAAGACGACGACGACAAAACACUGACUUAACCAACUAGUUUAAUCUACGUAUGAAUACACUGACUUAACCAAAUAGUUUAAUCUACGUAUGAAUAGCCCUAUAGAGUUCAGGGGCAGUAAAAUAUUAACCUAACAGAGGGAGUGGGGGAUUCAAAAGGCAAAGGACACACGUGAGUGGGAAAUAGGUGUCGAGGCCCGGCACUGAUUAUAACAGCACUUUAUGAUCACAUGCAACCUUCACGGGCUCUUUCGGUCUCUCCUCUCUGAUUUGUCCUCUUGACUUGCACCCAGGCUAAGGAUUUUGCUGUUACAAAUUUCUCUAUAAUUUCAUUUUUUUUAAUUUAAUUUAGUUAAAAGUGUUGGAUGGGGUGUUUGCCUGCACUUUUCUCAUAUUUUUAUAUAAUCAAAAUUAUUUAAUCCGAGAAGGAUUUAAUUAAAUCCCGACACUUCCGUAGUUCUUUAACAACUGAUAAUAUUAAUUAGUAAGAUUUCACUUCGAGAAUUCAGACCAUAUGAAAUACUCAUCACUUACAAUAUAAUAACAAUUAGGCAUAAUAAUAGUUGAUUUUUUCGGUGAUUUGCGUGUUUUUUACUAGAAAUAGAAUUUUGAGACUUAUUUGUGAAAGAAUCCUUAACUUUAGGCAUAUAAGUUGAGAAAUAAUGUAAAACCCAGUGCGCCCAUAGUUUUGCCUUUUCCGUUUAUACGGAAUUCUGAAGGAAGAACAAAAGAGUACUAGAAUCCAGUUUGUACGACCAUUAUUGGGUAAUAAUCUGUCAACUUACAGUGGAUUGAGAUCCUUUCCGGAUCUUACACUCUAUAGGCCACCGACCGAAAAAUUUGAACUGUUCAAGAGAAAGAGAAAUAUGGGCGUUUGAUAGAGAAAUUGUGUGAAAUUGACCAGUGAGAUAUGCUAAUGUGGAUCGCAGAAUUUAAAUUGAACAAUCUAGAUUUCUUGGUACGUGGACUCUGAAGUAUAAAAUCCGGAGAGGAUUUCAAUCCGUUUCUUUCAAGUCAUGCUCAAUACUUGCGAUGACAAUGAGUUUGAGAGACGGAUAAUAAAGAUUACGUAAAAUUAAAAUAGUAAGAAAGAUUUGGUGUUUAACUUAAUAUUAAAACUAAUUGGGGUUUAGAAACAUUAUCAGCUUCGAUAAAUGAUCAGAUUACUACUGUACAUGUGCGCUGGAAGUCUUUGGAAUAAUAUUAUUAAUUAUUAUUCUAGGAAACUGCAGUAUCGUUGGUGAACUUUGAUUCGUCGCCCACAAUUACGGAAAGACAGAUUUGAACUUAAUUAAUUCCAAGAAAACGAUGGGAAUGCAGUUGGAAUGUGGGAACAAAACAUUAUGGUGAUAUAUAUAAAUAUAUAUUUCUGUUUCUGUUAGUUUCGGUUGAAUUAUUUUAGUUGUUGUGUGUCUCAUAUAUAUCAUCAGAUAGAGCUAGCUAGCUAUAGCAAUUGAGGAAAAACACGAGGCCAUGAACGUCCCCACGUUUGUUAUACUCAUAUCCGUGGCUAUGAUGAAUUUACAGAGAUGCCAGAGCCGAGAAGCUGUUAGCAGUAACAUGCACACCUCAAUUUCAUCACCCACAACUCCUUGACCUCUUCUUCCUUGCCCGUCCCUUUCCCCAUUUUCCUCCAAAAUUGCUCUCCCCCCUCUCUCAUACAUUAUGCUUUCCUUGCUGGAAUUUAUCGGUACCCAAAAAAAAUGAUAGGAUAAGAAGAACGACGAAUGACUUGUGUGAUUUAUUCUCUUUCGUACUCUUGUCUUUUUAAACAAGCGAUGUUGCCGAAGAGGAAAUUUGAGUUCAGGAGUUGCAAAGGUAAUUAAGUAUUAUUAACCACCUAAGUUACCAUUCCGUGACGUUUACUAAAACAGAAAUAAUAACCAAUUAUGAAAAGAAACAAGAUUUGUAUAAUUUGUGAUCAUCUUGUAGCGUUAUUUGCACAGAACCGUUAAAAUUGUUUUGUUGUCAUGCACAUUUUUCCUUUUGUCCUCGACAAAUAUUAAUUGAUCUUUGCACCCAAAACUACAUUACUCUUAAUUUGUUGGAAGAGGAACCUCUCCGGAUCUACUUUGUGGGAUCCCCACAUCCUAGUCGUUCGUCAUAUAUGGUGCAAUCAGUUUUUGUCAAGUAUUAUAGUAUUUGUGUUUAAUUUUAAAUAAAAAAAAUCAAAAAAAAUCAAAAAAAUUCCGACCGCACGAUGCAUAAUGAAUGAUUAAGAUGUGAGGAUCCUUAGGAUUCCCACAAUUUAGAUCCGGAUGAGAUUCAAAUCCUAAUUUGUUGGCUGCAGUGCGGGUGUAUGCAUAUCCAUGCAUAUAUACACACACAAACAUAUAAUCCCAUAAUAAUCAAACAAAGAGUAUAUACGUCAAACGUCAAAUGAAUCCCGAUAACUGAGCAAACUAUUUUAAUUAUUGUAUUAUGUAUAUGUUUCUUACACAUAAUCAGAAACGACAAACAUGAUAAGUACACAGAAUUCAAAUAUAUAUAUGUUACGUAUCUUCAUUUUUUAAUCCCAUUUUUUGGCUGGGUUUGCAUGCUUGGCAAUAUAUAUAUUAUUUUGUUUUAAUUUGUUACACAACUAUGAGUGAAUAAGAUAUAGACACUGGAAAGUAAAGGGGAAAAGAUCGGUAUGUGCAAUGAGAGUUUUUUUAGUAUGUCGAGAACACGGUCGGAUACACUAAAUGUCAUAAUACAAGUGGUUAAAUAUUUAAAAAAAAAUUACAACCACAUGUGUUAUGACACUCGGUGUACUAUACCUGUUUUUUUUUAUGACAAAUGAUAAAUUUAUUAGAUUAGAUGUUAAAUUAAUCACCGAUAAAAUUCGAACCAAUAUCAUCAUACAAUAACUCAACCCUUUCUACCAUGUGGAAAAGAGCUACUUGCAGUGUACUAAACCUGUUCCCGGCACAUCAAUUUUUUUUUCACACACGACCUUCUUGAUUAGCCGUCAUUUAGUGCUUACAUUAAAUUUCAUGCUCUCGUGAACUUUGAGUUCUCUUGUGAUCAGCUCCAUCUCCACGCGCAGCCCCUGCCAUCGAUGAUUAGGGUUUCUUUCCGUCUCUUCCAUUAAUUAUUAAUUGGAGAAAAUGUUUUGCUCACUCACCAACGCAUAAAAGAUUUCAUGCAUUAACUGCCACGUGACAAUUUUCAUGGAACACCUAAUUAAAUCAUCUUCACCCAAGGAGUAGUUCAAACCUUUAUAAUGUAGUAACUCUUUUUGGUAAAAUAGCUAAAAUGAUGAAAAUACAAAAUUUAGAAGAAUUUUAUGCUUUCAUUAUAUAUCGUCAAAUACUUGAUCGAUUAUAUUUUAAAUAUUUGAUCAAUAUAUCAUUGUUAGUUAACUUUAUCAUUUUAACAUAAGAAUUUGUAAAAACUUCAUUUCAACAGAUUUUUUUUUUUUUUUGCCCUCGUGACUUAAAAGACAAAUAAUUAUGAGAGAAAAAAGCACUUUGGCAUCACCUAAAUUAUGUUAUGCUGGCCGCUGAAACUCGGAAGCUUCAUGUUUGAUUCCAUAUUUUGGAGCUGGUGGGUUUAGCAGGGCAAUGGUACUAAUGUACAUUUUACAAGCACUAAUCAGUGUUAAUACAGUUAAUCAUGAUAUAAAAGAUAGAUAAAUAUGAUUGUUAAAAAAGGGGAAAAAAACCAUAUGAUUCUCUGUCUCUGUACAAACUUCAACAUCAGUACAUCACCAUCGAAAUUACAUGCUAGUUGCACAAUGUGCAACAGUAAUCGAAUAGGUCCAACAAAUAGCAAUCACCAGAUUGAAAUUAACUUGUAAGCAAAGGGUCACGGAUCUUUCUAAUUUUUGGAGCUAGCUAUAGCCAGCUCUACCUGUAUAUAUAUUAUAUGAAAUUAAGAUAAUAUUAAUUAAUUAGAUCAUUGCAUUAGAUCUAAACUUCCCCCAUUGGGGUUUUUAGUUUUCUCGUUGUUGACAUGUUGCUGCCAGGCCGGUAGGCCCUGCUGAAUGCUGAUGAUGUUAUGGUUAUGGAUGGCCGGCAUUGUUAAGCAUGUGAAUUAUAUUUCCAGUAUGGAAAAGCUCUUUUAUUUGCUAUGUUAUGUUGAUAAUGAAUCUCACGUCGAGAAAAAUAAAGAACAUUGUAUGUGCUUAUAAGUGGUUUGGCUAUUUUAUAUAUUGUCAAUUGAUUUUAUGGUUUCACCUCAACUUUUUUCGUGGUAUCAGAACAACUUGUCCCAUGUGUAUAGCUCAAUGGCCACACGUGUUUCACGUCGCCCAAUUUGUUUGUCCACAUGUUAGGCUUGAAAAUUCGCCACACGUGAGGGAGCAUGUUAAGAAUGAAUCCACAUCGGAGAAAUGAGAGACCUUGCAUAUGCUUAUAAGUAGUUUGUCUACUUCCCGUAUUACCAAGUAGUUUUAUGAUGAAACCUCAACUUUCUCCAUGUCUAUAAUCUCAAUAGAUUCUUAAAUUAUUUACAGAAGACAAAAGUGCUUUUGUUUCUACCUCUUUGUAAUUUGUAUACCUUUGAAACCCUCAGUUUAAUAAUGAUGGCCUACGAAAAAAGAAAAAAAAAGGGCCUUAUUCUAGCCACAAUCACGGAUCGAUUUGGAGAGCCCCUGAUGAAGUUCACCCCAAUUGCCAUUGUUUCUUGGGAACUUUAACGAAAAGCUCCUGGUACUAUUCAUUUUAACGAAAAACCAUAUUUUUACACUAAAAAGUCGAUCAUGUUACUAUUCACUUUACCCUUUAUUUUGUUCUUAUCAUUAAAACUCAAAGUUUUUAAACCUUUUUCAUUAGUUUUCCUUUGUUUCUUUGGGACAAGACACCAGAGACUUUUCUAUGUUGCUUCUUCUCCCUCUCUGACUUAGCUUCUAAUGCAUGUAUGCCAAGCCACAUUACCCUUAAGCAAAUGCACGAUUUAUUGUACUCGUGUAAUCGUAAAUACAUAAGAUAUGUAUAUAUGUUUCCUAGUUAAACUUAGACUAUAUGGAUUUAAACCACUUAAACAUUUGAAUAAGAAUUAACAAGAUAAUAUCGUAAGGAAAUACUUUUCACAUACGAUUUUUUUUUUCUCAUUUUGUAUAUGCUUAUUUAUUUGUGUUCAUUGAUUCUCCCAUGAUGAUAUAAUUCAAAAAUUAUAAAUAAACAUGUGUAUGCAUGAGGAAAAAUAUGGGUGUUCGGUCUGCUUGCAAAUUGGGUUGUGAUAAUGAUAGUGAACAGUGGACUACUAUGCAUGCACAUGCAAGGUUCUAAAAGAUGUUAGGUGCUAGGCGCUAGUCGGGCGGCGAGCUGGAGCUUAACGCCUAGGCGGCUAGGCGGGGUAUAGGCGGACUAGGCAUAUUUAACUAAAUCCAUUAUAUUUCAUGUAAAUAAGUGUAUGUUUAUACUUAAUAUAUAUAUAUAUAUAUAUAUAUAUAUAAUUUCAUCAUAAACUACAAAAUAGAAUGACAUAUAUAUUAUGAAGUAUUGGAACAUAAUGAAAUCAUGGGAAACAAGCAUAUUAUAUGUGCUCAUUUAAGUAUUCGACAAGUUUCUUACAAUUUAUUUUAAAAAAUAAAAUACAAAACGAAAGUUAUUUAUUUUCUGCCUAAGUAAGUUGCAACUUAGGCGGGUGCCUAAACGGUCUAGGCGGGGCCUCAGCAGGUAUAUGCACCAUUUCUUAAUUUUCAAACGACUAUGCAUUAAUCAAGGCGAUGACCAGCCGUCCGCCUAGACGGGGAUUUUUAGAAUAGUGUGCACAUGUGCAUUCCUGUUGUGUAAUCUGGAAAUGCAUCAUAAUUCAGGCAUGCCGCAAGUGUAAUCAAAUUUCUGUUAACUUGUAACCAAAACAUGAUCGCAGUUGACUUUACUGUGCGGUCAAUGAGCAUGCAUGGUAUGGUUUUGCUGCUUUCGGCAAUUCCAGUAUCUCAUUAUUGCAUUCAUAAAUGGCAACAAUGCGAGUAGAAAUUAUAAAAAUUUAACAAAAAAAUCGUGCGUCUAUUGUUUCUUGAUCCAUCUUGCAAAUUCCAGUGGUGCGGGUCAAUGGAUAUGAAAACUGUGAACCUAAUAAAUAUAGGAGCCUUUUUAAGUAAAGAUUUCGGUAUAUUGCAACGAAAUUGAAACAAUAUAUAGAAUCUUCGCAAUAAUCUGAAUAAACUUUACAUGCUCUGCGUGGUUCAUCACUAGGAUCCUAUCAUUCAACGGAAUCAUGUUCCGGCCAUAUAGAAUUCUCAUAUUCUGAAAUAGAAAAAAAUAGGAACAUAAGAUGUUUUAUACCGUGACAUAUUCUCUAUGAUCGAUUAUCCUAUACUUCAUAGUUCUAUACAUAAAAUAUAUGCACAUGCAUAUUUGUUGUUUUGUACUAGGUGGCCAUUUCUCGUGACUACUAAAAUUGCAGAGUUGUCAGUGUUUUAAAUCUAGUAUUACAUUUUUCAAAACCCUAACCCUAAGCUAUAGAUACAGCCUAUAUAUAUACUUAUAAAUUUUGUUGCAACCCUAGCCAGUGUGAUAUGCCCUAACAUUAUCUGAUGGACCCAACUCUCCCUAGUGAGGAGGACCAACCAAACGAAUAUAUAUGAAAUCAAAACAAUUUAUCCGAUUUAUCACAGAUAUAGACACAACACACCCACUGGCUACUAACUAGUAGUAGAUAUUACAAAUUAGUCAUGCAUCUUCUUCUUGGUGGCCCCCUUUCAUCCACAUUUGAAUUUUCGGUUCCUUUUGUGUGUCUCAUCAUCCUGCAUAAUUUAGUUCCAAUCCCAUCCAAGCACAAGAUGCUACAAAAAAAAAAAAAAAAAAAAAAAAGUCAUGGGCCAUUGCCUUUUUAUUUUAGUUUGACUCACGUUUUGUUUAAUGCGCGUGUGAAUAGAUUCUUUUUUACGGUGUAUAGUUUAACUUUGGUGAAUGAAAUUCAAUUUAGAUGCUCACACUUGUUGUUGUGUGAGAGUGCGGGACGUGAAAAAAAGUAGGUGUGGAUUACGAAAAACAAAAAUACAACAACAAUCAAACCUUAUCUCACUAAAGUCGGGUAUAUGAAAUCCUAGAAACUAUUGCGUAAGGUUUUGCGUCAAGUCUUUCAUUUGUUCUAAGUACUUCAUAUCUUUUGUUAUAAUCUCUUUUAAAAUCUUCUUAGGUAUUCCUCUACCAUUUUACCCUGAGUCUCCGUCUCAUAAUCGCAAAAAAUGAAAAAGGGAAAAAGAAAAGAACACAGUUUAGAAUUGCUUGCUUUUCUUCAAACAGUCCCAUACGACACCUAAUUUUAUAAAAUUUAAUCAAAUCUGUCGGCUGAUUAACAAAUACAGGCAUCUGUCAGUUAGCAAGCAGAAUAAUCCCAAAACUUUCAUCGACCAGUCAGUGAUUCUUUACUGUACACAGCUUCUAUUUUUCAUGUUCCAUUGCUGCAGAACAAGCUUUUGGUUGUAGUUGUUGGGUUCUGAAUGUCAUCUUGCCAAAUAACAAAUCAGAAUUUCUGUUGGACCGGGUUCGAAUAUCCCAGUGGUCCUCAAUCGUCCUUCUCUGCAAACUAAUUAUGGGAACUUUAACGAAAAGUUUUCGGUACCGUUUACUUUAACGAAAAACCAUAUUUUCACACUAAAAAGUCAAUUCUGAUACUAUUUACUUUAUCCUUAUCGUUAAAACUCAAAGUUUUCAAACCAUUUUCAUUAGUUUUCUAUUAAUUUUCUAGUUGUCCCUAUUCCAAAUACGAAACGCAUUUCAUAGUUCAUACCAUUUCUGAAUAUAGUAAUGAUAAUGGGCAAGGCUCUCGGAUCGGUUCAUCCUAUAUCGCUUAGAUUUAAGUAUUUAAUAUCAAUAAAUAAGAUCAAAGUCGAAAAAAUAAAGAAUGGAAGUGCGGUUUUUUCAAUGCGUCAAUGUCUUAGAAAAAACAAAAAUCCAUCCUGCAUCGAGAAUUUCAUUUCAAAAACUUGACGGGCGUAGUAGGAAAUCAUUCUUUAUAAUAAUCAUCUGCAGUGAUCAGUUUCAUAACUAUAAUUCGUCUACAUAGUAAUAUUCUCCGCAACUGCCCCUUAAACCUCCCUCCAAGAUUCCUUUACAUUGCUAGAGAGCACUCUACAAGCUCAUUAACCCUGUUCCGUAUACUGUCAAACAGUUAUUUAGUUAUGUGCAUAUAGGGAGCCAAAUCAGAGCUCCGUGUGCACAAUAUCCGCCCUAGUGAGAUCUGCGAGCUCAGCUUCAGAGGUCUGAUCGGUGAUUGUAGAGUCUUUGUCAUGGGAAUUCAGACAAUCUGCUGAGGGAUGCACAAUGCCAUACCCGAAGCCUUGCGCAGAGUUGCAGUAUGUUUCCACUUGGCCGUCCUCCCUCUCUAAGUUGACGUCAGUCAGGACUAUGUUGCUGCAUGGAACUGUGUCACUGCACGCAAAUUUCAUGGCCUUCGCACUCUUUGUGGUUCCAGAAAUGUUCAUGUACAUGACUUGGGUUAUUUCCACCGCUGAUGUCUGAAAUGUAAGGACAAAGAAAAGCAACAUAAUCACAAUUAACAGAAAUUUGACGGGGUUUUGGUUAUGAUUGAUUUACGUGAAGAGUUCGGGAGUUUAUAAGAUGAUCAGAGUCAAAUGGCUGAGAACUCAGUGGUGCAGGAAAGCAGAAAUUUAGAGCAUUACCAGAUUUUGACAAGGUUUGGGGGAAUCGCAGUAAAACUGAUCUAUGAUUAUCGGGUUUGAUACAUUUUCCAUCCUCACAUUCUGAAAACGGAUACCACGUACAUAACCAGAACCACCCUAUAUACCCAAAUGCCACAAAGCGAAUGUUACCGUAGGGGAUCCAUCAAUAACCCGAAAAAUAAAAUAAAAAAAUCUAAUUAAUAGAUUAAAAACCUGCCAAGUCUUAAUCCUGAGGCCAUUGGUCGUCUCCCUGAGGUAUGCCGUAUCCAAGACCACUUUUGUGACCAUGUCAGUGGAGUUGCCCUUCCCAAGACUUCCGAUGCUAAGUAACAGAAUGUCAUGCCAAUAAAGGUAAUGAGAAUAACAAUUUUCAGUUUCAUUUACUUGCACCUUGAACGAUGACUGACUAAUUUGAGCCUGCUAUGUAUCUCUUUUGGGAGGACAUGACUACAUGAGACACAACUGCAGCAUUAGUCUACAACAAAAGUAGAUGAUACCUGAUUCCAUGUCCUGGUCCGCAAAAGAUUCUCUUCAUCUUAAUUCCGGAGGUACCACUGACAAUUGAGACGCAAUCAUCCCCUGAAUCAACAGGAAACACGAUGUGUCAUGUGAUUGACUGAUUGAGUGCCUUUCAAGUGUAAUCUAUUGUUUCUUUCGUACCCAAUCAAAUGUUAUUUUAUGAUAUUCUUUCUUCAUAUCACCAAUUUGAUCGUUUCCAUUCCAGUUCCUACUUUUGAGUUAUGAAAAGUGAUCUGAGAAAUGAUAUUGAAGAAAGUUUGAGAACCUGUUCCAAUUUUGCAGUCUUGGAGAACCACAUUAGUAGAUGCUGUGAUAUGGAUUCCAUCAGUGUUGGGACUAUCUCCUGGAGCCGAGACUAGCACUGCAUCAACUCGCACCGCGUCACAAUGAGAGAUGACAAAAUUCAUCUGUUGGGCGUUCUUGAUGGUGAUGCCUUUUACCUUUAUAGCUGAGCUUUUAUCAAUAGUAAAUGCCUGCAAAUAAAAACCCAACUUAAAUUCUAUCCGGUGAUCAUCCUGAUCCAUGUCAUUUAAAUAAACUCAUUUUUGGAUCGGAGGGAAAAGUACAUACUGUUGGUGCCCCUCUGCAAGGCUGUAGAGAAAAAAAGAAACAGAGAUAAAUCAAUAUGAACUUGUAAAUGGUCUGGAUUUAAGUAUUUGGAUACAGUAGAAAUGAUAAAACGCGAAGAUAUACAUUUGUCUUGUUCUUUUUGCAGGAUGCGGCCCACCAUUUACUGCCUGAGCCGUCAAUAACGCCAUUCCCUUGGAAAAGAACUCCAGUCAAUUUAGUGAAAUCAAGCCAUGUUCGUGGAAAUCUCGGAUCCCAGUUAUUAGGCUCAUCUGGAGCUACUAUAGUUCCUUCAAUCUGUGCAUCAGUCGUACCAUUUACAAACAUGAACAUUUCAUAUUUUCAUACCAUUGCAAAGAGAUGGAAUAUAAAGAGUUAUCAUUGAUGAUUAGAACGAAGAUGGAUUAUAAGGAUCUAACUUUACUAAAAUCAAGAAAGGUUUUACCUGGAUGAUUAGGUUAUCCGCGCAUGGCCCUUGAAAUUUUGUAGCAUUCACUAGAUACUGGUGUCCUUGGGGUACCAAGAAAACUGCAUUUGUUGUAUUGCAAGCGAUACCCCAGGCUUUCUGGAAAGCCUAAGAAUAAUGGCAUUGUAAAGGGAUUAAAUGUCAACAAUUAUGGCAAACGGUUCGGGUAAAUGAUUUUUCGUGGUUAAAAUUGGCAAAGUUCAGACAUGAUAGAGCUGUGAAGCGUCAUGUCCUUUUUCCAAUAAAUUAACUGCUGAUCACAAUAUGUUGUAUAAUAUUCAUUCAGUUUAUUGGUAUCAAAAGUUGAGUAUCAAUAUUUUGGCAAAAUCUAGUAUUUAAAAGUGGGUCUAAUUGUUCAAGAAAUGAGGCGCAUUUGAAUGACAAAAAAAAAGUGACCAAAUAUACAACCGUGUAUGCUCACCUGAGUAUCAUCAGAAACUCCAUCUCCAACUGCACCAAAGCUAUCCACGUUAACAAGAAUCUUGCAACCUCGUUCACUUUUCCAUGUCGGAAUGUCAAAAACAUCCAGCUCGCUGUCUUCUUGUAUGUGAAAACUUUCAAGCUCAUGGAGCAUGCAACUGCUGUCAGACACCAAGUUUCCUGCAACUCCAAAAACUGCUAUCAGCAUACCAAAACCGAAAACCGCAGGGAAUUUAUCCAUGCUUGUCUUUUUUUUUUUUUUUUUUUUUUUUUUUUUUUGGCAAGAUUGAUCGAUUCGUAUAACUUCAAUGAACAAUGGGUUACCAUUUAUACGUACAGAUUAGUUUAAGAAUUACCAAGGGUUUUCUGGGAUAAAAUGGCUUGGCUUGGAAGUAGAUGAAGAUGUUACAUUUUCUACAAGCCCACACUUAAAGCAAGGGAAAAUCUUUGUUGCUUGCUUUACUCUAAAAUCAGUGAACAAAAAUGCACCAGUAAUAGGGGUUUCAGUGUGAGGCAUCUGUUUCAGGAUAAAAGGCAAGUAAAGAUAUAUCAGCAAAGUGCAAUACUUUCUGGAAAAAUCGAAUUUCAAGGAUUUUUAAGGACAAUUUGAAUAUUUAAAAAUUGAAAUAAAAUGAUUGGAUGUACAGUUGCAGUGCCGUACAACAAAAUCUAAAAUUAUUUUUCUUGUAAGAAAAGCAAAAGAAAAGGUCAACGAGUUAGUUAGACCAAAAAUAGAAAAACACAAUAGUAACAGACUAACAGUAACCCUAUUGAGAAGAUGUAAACCUCAUAAGCAGGGGCCAGCUAGGUGAAAAUUUAGCUGAAAGCAUCAUGCGGUGGAGAAAAUUUAGCUGUAAACCCAAGAGGUCACACUUAGUGCGAUGGCAAGUGCCUUCGCCCAUGAGCGGUAGGUCUUGGGUUCGAGACUUGGGAGCAGCCUCUCCAUAAAAUGGGGGUAAGGCUAGCCGACAUUCACCUCUCCCAGACAUUGCGUAAGGCGGGAGCCUUGUGCACUGGGUACGACGACCAUCAUGCGGUGGAGAGAAUUCCGAUGAGACUGCUUGAUUAGGACAAUUCUCACACAAAGUGGGAUCGCGUGGGACUGAGUGGAGUCAAGUGGGAUUAAAAUACAAGGGAUCCCGUGUUUCUAUGAGAGGUGGUCAACGGAACCCCUACCUAAGAUUUUCUCCAUUCAGUGUAACAGUGGGUUCAAUGAAGAAUCCGAUCAGGUGGUUUCAUCAUUUCAAAAUGCUAGCAGUGAUGGUGACUGUUUACCUCGACCAAUGAAGAAUUACAACACUCCAGCGUUUGCUCAUGAACACUUUCAUAAAUAGACACUGAACUUUCCAAUGUCACCGCAUUUCCCGUACAUAUAUAUUAGAGCAGAUUGAACAUAAACAUUCCCACCGUGACCAAAACCCAACUUCACAACAUAAGAGUGCAUCUGCUUUACAAGUUCAAAAUUCUCAGUCCAACUAGCUAAAUUCAAAAACCCUACAAACAAAGUUAACAAACCGAUCGAUGGCCUCUUCUCCCAAAACUGCAUCUCAGCAAAUAACUCAAGCGCAUCAAGUGGUAAACCAUUUUCGGUGUAGACCUUCUUCGGAAUAGCUUCAAAUGCUUCUGUUGCAUCAAUCAAGCUCCCACAAGCAGAGUAUAAAUCCACCAGAGCAUUGGCAACGAAUGUAUUUGAUUCCACCCAUCCGUCCUUAACAAUGCGGCAAUGCAGCUGCUUUCCUGCUUCCAAAAGCCUCCCACUACAACUUCCGAGGAUCAAAUAACAGUAAGUAAGCGCAUUUGGAUCCACACCAUCUAAUUCCAUCCUGGAAAACACACCAGAUAGCUCAUCCACCCGACACAACACACAAAACCCACGUAACUGUUGUGCUAAGAUAGCACCAAACCCGUUGGAACCAACUCAAGCUAACCCACAGGAAAUUUACCAAAUGAAAAUGCAAGAACAAAUAUUAAAGACACCAAGAUUUUAACGAGGUUCCUCAACAGUCAGUGUAACUGGAGUACGUCCUCGGAGCAGUAUGAGCUCACCCAAUAAUCCACUAUCAACCAAAUGGGAGUUUACAAAGUGUUGGCAAUCUCACAACCCAAAUAACCCAAUACACCCAAUAACUCUCACACUCUAAAGAAACAAAUAGAGAAAGAAAUAUAGUGAUUAAUUUCUUCUCUAUACAAAGCUCAUAGUUAUUACAACAAUAACACUUUGAUGGAGUGAGAACUAUCCAAUGAAAGGAACAACAACUCCUUCUCUCAAAAUGGUACUGCAUCAGUACCUUCUUUCUCUCCCUCUCUUCUCUUCGGCUCACCAAUUUUUCUGCUCUCUUAAAAAAACAAAAGGGCAGCAGCUCCCUCAUCAUAACAUAGCCUUCAUUCAAGUCACCCCGUGACUUCCCAUGGACCAAGAAAACUUUAGACAAAUAUCCCUUUUCUUUUCCCCAAAAUAAGGAAGAGACAUAAUUAUUUUGUCUACCUUUUUCUUUAUAAUUUUUUAUAGUCAAAAGUUGGCCACUUGGCCACAUACUCCAACAAUCUCCACUUUGGCCAAGUUUCGAAAAACGCCAUGAUAAGCCAACCAACACAAUUAACACAAACAUCACUCACAAACACUAGCAAGAGAACAACUCAUGCCGAGCCAAAUGCUCCAAAACUCCUACUGCUCAACGCCUUCUUUAUAUAGGCAAAAUGUGAGCCAAGUUCAAACAGUGAACAAACUUGGCUACACCAACAACCUUAGUCAACAUAUCAGCGGGGUUGUCUUUAGUUGGAAUCUUCUGGAGAAUGAUUUCCCCCUCACCAACAAUUUCACGAACAAAGUGAUAACGCACAUCUAUGUGCUUGGUCCUCGCAUGAUGAACCUGAUACUUAGCCAAAUAAAUGGCACUCUGACUAUCACAAUGUACCUCCACCUGCUUCUGAUCAACCCCCAAAUCUCUAAUCAGCCCAUGUAUCCAAAUGGCCUCCUUUAUAGUUUCAGCAACUGCCAUAUAUUCAGCCUCUGUAGUAGACAAGGCAACAGACGACUGCAAAAUGGACCUCCAACAAACUGGUCAUUUAGCCAUAGUAAACACAUAGCCUGUAGUUGACCUCCUUCCAUCCAGAUCACCUGCAUAAUCUGAAUCAACAUAACCAACUGCAAAAUGACCAAUACCAGAGUCAUCUCUCUCAAAGCAUAAACCAACAUCUCGAGUACCAUGGAGAUAUCUCAAUAUCCACUUAGCUGCUUGCCAGUGCUCUUUACCUGGAUUAUGCAUAUAUCGACUCACCAUGCCAACUGCAUGAGCAAUAUCCGGUCUAGAGCAUACCAUUGCAUACAUCAAACUACCAACCAAAUUUGCAUAUGGUAUAUUUUUCAUUUGCAGCUUCUCUUUAUCAUUUUUAGGACAUUGUAGAGAACUCAAUUUAAAAUGAGGAGCCAAAGGGGUACUAACCGGUUUGGUUGAAUCAUAAACUCCAAACUUCCGAAUCAACUUCUCAAGGUAUUGUCUUUGAUUCAAACUGACCAAACCCUUCUCUCUAUCUCUAGUGAUCUCCAUGCCAAUGAUCUUCUUCGCUUCACCAAGAUCCUUCAUCUCAAACUCAUUCUUCAUUUGCUUCUUCAAUUUUUCAAUCUCUUCAACAUUCUUUGAGGCAAUCAACAUAUCAUCAACAUAUAUCAACAAAUAAAUGAAAGACUCAUCUUGCAACUUCUUGAAGUACACACAAUGAUCAUAUUGACUUCUAGAAUAAUUUUGGCCUCUCAUAAAUUUAUCAAACCUCAAAUACCAUUGCCUUGGAGAUUGCUUCAAGCCAUAAAGUGAUUUCUUCAAUUUGCAAAACAAAUUCUCCUUCCCUUUCACUAUAUACCCAUCCGGUUGACACAUAUAAAUCUCUUCAUUCAAAUCACCAUGUAGGAAAGCCGUCUUCACAUCGAGUUGCACAAGCUCAAGAUCAUAUUGUGCAACAAGAGCUAACAUAAUACGAAUUGAGGAGUGCUUCACAACCGGAGAAAAGAUUUCAUUGUAGUCAAUGCCCUCCUUUUGUGCAUACCCUUUAGCAACUAAUCUUGCUUUAAAUCUCACAUUGCUUUUCUCAUCAGCAUCUUCCUUCUUGGCAUACACCCAUUUGCAACCGAUAGCUUUCUUGCCCUUAGGCAAUUUAGCUAACUCCCAAGUCUUGUUCUUCAAGAGAGAAUUCAUCUCAUCACCCAUGGCAUUGCACCACCUCUUCUUCUCCUCACUCUCAAUGGCUUCCUCGAAAUUAGAUGGAAUCUCAUCAGUGAUAAUAGGAAGAGCAAAAGAAACAUAGUCACUAUACCGAGCUGGCUUGGUAAUUUGUCUCUUUCCUCUAUUCUUGGCAAUAGACUCUUAAGGUGAAACUUGCUCUUCAACUUGAAUAGAAUCUUCAAGUUCAACUUCUUCAACAUCCUCAUGGUCUCCAACUUCUUCACUUGUAGUGGCUUCGACAUCAGCGGAAAUAGGAUUUGAAGUACCAGAGGCAACUUUCUCAAGCUCCACCUGUUGGACAUCUUUCACAUUCUUCUCAGAGACUUUGUACAUACUUUCUUCAUCAAAUGUCACAUCUCUGCUGAUUACAAGUUUUUUCAUCUCUGGGCACCACAACCUGUAACCUUUGACACCACUACUAAAACCAAGAAAGAUAGCCUUUUUGGCUCUAGGAUCAAGUUUAUUUUCAGUCACAUGAAAAUAAGCAGGUGAACCAAAAAUACGGAUAUAGUCAUAAUCAGAAAAAGGUUUUCCAGUCCAUACCUCCAUUGGUGUCUUACCCUGAACAGCAGCUGAGGGUAACCGGUUGAUGAUGUGACAUGCAUAAUUAACUGCCUCUGCCCAAAAUGACUUGCUUAAACCCGACUGAGACAACAUACAUCUAACCUUCUCAAGCAAGGUUUGAUUCAAUCUUUCUGCAACUCCAUUUUGUUGUGGAGUUCCCCGAACACUGAAAUGUCUCACAAUUCCUUCCUCUUUGCAAACUUUAAAGAAAGGAUCGGAUGUGUAUUCACCACCAUUAUCCGAUCUCAAAAUCUUAAUCUUUCUCCCAGUCUGGUUCUCAACCAUUUUCUUCCAACCCAAGAAAAUGCUUAACACCUCACUCUUGUGCUUCAUAGUGUAGACCCAAGACCUUCUUGAAUAAUCAUCAACAAAGGUCACGAACCAAUGUCUACCACUCAAAGAGGGAGUCUUUGUAGGACCCCAAACAUCCGAAUGCACAUAAUCAAUAAUGCCCUUCGUCUGAUGUACCGCAGUACCAAACUUCACUCUAGUUUGCUUCCCCAAGACACAAUGCUCGCAGAAAUCAAGCUUACAAGUCGUGGCACCUUUUAGAAGACCUUUUUUCACAAGCCCUUGUAGAGCUUUCUCACCGGCAUGGCCUAAUCUCAUAUGCCACAAUCUAGUAGUAUCUGAAUCAAAUGUGCCCAUAUUUUCAGAGACUACAGAUGCUUCACCUAUCACAGUGCUUCCCUGCAAUAAAUACAAAUGGCCACAUCUAGGAGCUUUCAUCACAACAAGUGCACCAUAAGUAACUUUCAAUGUCUGUCCAUCUGAAUGAAACCUGAAGCCCUUGGAUUCCAAAGUACCCAAAGAAAUAAGAUUUUUCUUCAAAUUCGGUACAUACCGAACACCUGUCAACUCUUUAACCAUGCCAUCAUGCAACUUCAAACGAACUGUACCAAUCCCUUUUGUUGUGCAAGGAUUGUCAUCUCCCAUGAACACAACGCCACCAUCAAACUCUUUCAAGCUUGAAAACCAAUUUUUGUGAGGAGUCAUAUGAUGAGUACAACCCGUAUCCAACACCCACUUAGUAGCACAAUCAAAUGAUAAGGAAGUGGUUAAAGCAAAAUCAGAAAAAUCUGUUUCAACCUCAGCAACAUUAGCUUCAGAACUUUCUUUUCCUUUGGUCUUCAAUUUGGGACAAUCUUUCUUCCAAUGGCCCUUAUUACGACAAAAGGCACAUUCAUCCCUUUCCAAAGGUUUUCUACCUUUAGAGUUUCCUCUAGGUCGAGACUGUGAUUUUUUCCUGCUAGAAGAUGACCUCCUCUCCGACGAUCUACCUCUAACAAAUAAA